GAACAGGUCUUUGGCCUUGAAUUGAAAGAAGUCAACCUUAUAGUCAUUCUUCUUAUGCCUUUAUUAGGAAGCUGGAUUCCCCCCAAUGAGAGAAGUCUGAGUGGUGAUAAGUGAUUAUCUAAGACCGUUGGUUUCCUAAUGACUCUCCUGGGUGUGAUCUUCUUGAAGGGCAACUGUCACACUGAAGAGAAAAUCUGGAAAUUCCUGAAUACAAUGAAGGUGCAGGAUAGAAGCUAACACUUCAUCUAUGGACAGCCAGAAAGCUCAUUACCAGAAAUUUGGUACAGGAAAAGUACCUGGAAUACUGGCACGUGUCCAAUAAUUAUCCUUCACUCUAUGAGUUCCAGCAGGGUCAAAGAGCCCAUGCUGAAACCAAAAAGAUUAAAAUCCUGGAAGUUUUGGCUAAGAUCAAUGAUACCAUCUGUAGUAUCUUCCUGAAUCUGUAUGAAGAGUUUUCGAGAGAUGAGAAAGAGCAGGAGUGAGACUAGCACUCCUAUCUAUGAACGGU
rnacentral:lncRNA from 1 species